CGCGUAGGCGGUUUUUUAAGUCAGAUGUGUAAUCCCCGAGCUUAACUUGGGAACUGCAUCUGAGACUGGAAGGCUAGAGUACUGGAGAGGGUGGUGGAAUUCCUCGUGUAGCGGUGAAAUGCGUAGAGAUGAGGAGGAACACCAGUGGCGAAGGCGGCCACCUGGACAGUAACUGACGCUGAGGCGCGAAAGUGUGGGUAGCAAACAGGAUUAGAUACCCUGGUAGUCCACGCUGUAAACGAUGAACACUUGGUGUGGAGGGAGUUGACCCCUUCCGUGCCGGAGCUAACGCGUUAAGUGUUCCGCCUGGGGAGUACGGUCGCAAGGCUGAA
rnacentral:rRNA from 1 species